CUAGCCUUAAACGCCGCUAUGCUUCAUAUCAUACAAUUUGGGUAUUUCCUGUCUCUCUGCAGUAAAAGCAAUGAAAGAAAAUUUGUAGGGUUUAUCACCUUUCUUCUCUUUACUUCUUGUUUGCUUCUCUGCUCAACGUCUGCUGCCCCAGAAACCAGGUGAGGAAGAGUUAAAAGCUAAGGCAAUCAUUCAACCUGCUUUAUCAACACAUGCAAAAGAAGAUUUCUCCGAUUUGAUGGGAUCAGAAGAUUGCAAUGAGAAAGAUGAAGAAUGUGUGAAAAGAAGGAUGAUUGCAGAAGCUCAUCUGGAUUACAUCUACACAAAACAGCAUAACCCUAAGCCUAAGCCUUAGAAACAAUCCAUAUAGACUUAUUACAAAUGAAUAAUAUACUAAACUAGUGUGAAAAUUUCUGUAGCUAUGGAAGUGGUAUGAAUCUAUAUAUUGUCCAAAGCCCCCAAGGCCUUAAAAAGCCAUAAAAAUAUAAUGUAUCUGCUAGUAUUUAUAUACUCAGUGAUUUCGUA